rnacentral:lncRNA from 1 species
GUUAGAAGAAGGGUUUAGUUUUCCAAAUAUCCCCUUUCUUAAGUUUCCAAAAAAUUGACUUUUUGAUAACUUGUUGAUAAUAGAAAUUUAGAAAAUGACAGCCAAGCAGGCUCCUAUGGUAGUAGAAGAAGGGUUUAGUUUUUCAAAUAUCUCCUUUCUAAAGUUUCCAACAAAAGACUGACUUGUUGAAUAAUAGAAAAUUGUCGCUCUUAAGUUUCCAAAAAAAUACUUUUUGAUAACUUGUUGAAUAAUAGAAAAUGACAGUUUUAUACUACAUAUUUUAUCCAAUUCUUAGUUAUAAUUUAUUGGUUAUUUUGUGAGAAUUAUGAUAUUUUGAAUUGAAUUUUUAAUAUAAGAUUUUCUACUUUCUCUGGGAAAAAAAUGUGAUCAAAUGGAUGAAUUUUGGAGUAAUUCCAAUUAGAGGACGUCUGUGAGUCGCUUAGCUUGAUCAUGUCAAAACAUCAUAUUUUUCUACCAAAAGAUUAUUUUCUGGCGAUUAAAUAAAAGAGCAAUGAGUGAUGUUAGAAAGUGACUUUAUGGCUUAAUUGUAAUUUUUGGAGUCCAAGAUGACCACUUUUGGGUUUGGGCCUUUCUGGAGAAGUGUUCAGAUUAUUCCAAGCUUCAAAAUGAGUUAUCAUAGGCCAGAUUUGGAGGAGAUUUGGAUCCAAAAUGUGACUGUGAAGAUUAUGGGCAGAUUUCAUCAGUUUGGGACUAUGUUUCCUAGUUUAUUUUAAUUUAUUUAGUUUCCUAGUUUUAUUAUAAAACUUUUUCUAGGAAUGAUUUUAUUUUCUAGCAAUAUAAAUAAGGAUAUUUAGCCAUUAGGGUUAAGAACGCAUCAAUUUGGAGAACUUGGCUAGGCUUUGACGAUUUGUAUUCUUCUUUCAAUGUAUUUUCUAUC